rnacentral:rRNA from 1 species
UACGGGGGGGGCAAGCGUUGUUCGGAAUUACUGGGCGUAAAGGGCUCGUAGGCGGCCAACUAAGUCAGACGUGAAAUCCCUCGGCUUAACCGGGGAACUGCGUCUGAUACUGGAUGGCUUGAGAUUGGGAGAGGGAUGCGGAAUUCCUAGUGUAGCGGUGAAAUGCGCAGAUAUUAGGAAGAACACCGGUGGCGAAGGCGGCUCUCUGGAACGGUACUGACGCUGAGACGCGAAAGCGUGGGGAGCAAACAGG